CGCGUAGGCGGCUUUAUAAGUCUGGAGUGAAAGUCCUCUUUUCAAGGGAGGAAUUGCUUUGGAAACUAUAGAGCUUGAGUGCAGGAGAGGUUAUCGGAAUUCCCGGUGUAGCGGUGAAAUGCGUAGAUAUCGGGAGGAACAUCGGUGGCGAAGGCAGCUUCCUGGCAUAAUAUUGACACUGAGAUUCGAAAGCGUGGGUAGCAAACA
rnacentral:rRNA from 1 species